CCCACCACUUCUUUCCUGCGCUCCCAGAUCUGCUGUAACUGACAUUUUCCGUCUGACAGGUUCUGUUUUCCCUGCCUCUGGUUGCCAGGGAAACAAGCGAAGAGGACCGCAGCCAGAGAGCUGUUAGCUGCCUUUUUAAGGCGCCCUGGACAUAAACAGCACUUUCCAUAAUGGAAGCUGGGCACGGAGGCUUAAAAAAACCAAAACAAUACAGAAGAGGAGGCUAAAGUGGGAAAAAGUCGGGGUGGGGUCCCCACCAGGUUAAUGGGAGAGUAAAAGAAGAAAUAAAAAUCCUGGAAAAUCUCACACUCUUGGACAAAACCAGCCCCCUUCCUGAAAGGUCUGAUUCUCUCCUUGACGUGCAAAAAAGGAGAAACUGGACCUCCAGACCCCUACCUCCUAACGUCUUCUAUGAAGCCAAAAUCUCUGCAGCCAAGCCUCAGCCCAGCUACAGGGAACCUGGGCUCUAUUGAGCUGCAGGGGAGCUAUUCGGAUUGAAUCACCCUCCAGGCUAAAAGAUGCUCUAAUGGAAGUGAUGGGGUCCGUCUCCAAUUUGGAGACCGCGCAGGCCUAUCCUUCAAAAAAGUGGGCCCUGGAAGGGGGAAAGACAGAUCUCCUGUAGUAAAAAGGAGGACAUGACUGUCGUCAUCCUGAACACUUGUCCACGUGCAUGACGACAUCCCUGCAUGAAGGAGCAAAGCCGCUGGCUGAGAGGAAGGACCGAUUUUAAAUGGAAAGAGCUGCCAUAUUGUGAUGAUACUCAAGAGCCCCAUGGAAAAUUCCACAUGAAGAGGAACUGAGGCCUCCAGCCAACAGCCAGCAACUACUUGCUCACCACAUGAAUGAGCCAUCUUGGAAGCAGACUCUCCCACCCCAGUUAAGCCUUCAAAUGACUCUAGCCCUGCCAACAUCUUGACAAAAGGCUCAGGAGAGAUGCCAACCUAGAA